UACGGAGGGUGCGAGCGUUGUCCGGAAUCAUUGGGCGUAAAGGGCGCGUAGGUGGCCCGGUCAGUCUUUGGUGAAAGCGCGGGGCUCAACCCUGCGUCGGCCAGGGAUACUGCCGGGCUAGAGUCCGGAAGAGGCGAGUGGAAUUCCUGGUGUAGCGGUGGAAUGCGCAGAUAUCAGGAGGAACACCAACGGCGAAGGCAGCUCGCUAGGACGGUACUGACGCUGAGACGCGAAAGCGUGGGGAGCGAACAGG
rnacentral:rRNA from 1 species